rnacentral:rRNA from 1 species
UACGAAGGGGGCUAGCGUUGUUCGGAAUCACUGGGCGUAAAGGGCGCGUAGGCGGCUUGGCAAGUGGAAGGUGAAAUCCCUCGGCUUAACCGAGGAACUGCCCUCCAAACUGCUUUGCUUGAGGCCGGGAGAGGUGAGUGGAAUUCCCAGUGUAGCGGUGAAAUGCGUAGAUAUUGGGAGGAACACCAGUGGCGAAGGCGGCUCACUGGACCGGUUCUGACGCUGAGGCGCGAAAGCGUGGGGAGCAAACGGG